GCGGGGAAGGAGCCUGAGCUGGUGCGGGAAGUUGAGAGAUACCGUCUAGAUAUAGUCGGGCUCACUUCCACUCACAGCUUGGGUUCUGGAACCACUCUACUCGAUCGAGGGUGGACUCUCCACUAUUCUGGCGUUGCCCAAGGUGAGAGGCGGCGGGCUGGUGUGGGCUUAUUAAUAGCCCCCCAGUUCAGCCGCCAUGUGUUGGAGUCUACCCCGGUGAAUGAGAGGGUCAUCUCCCUACGCCUUCGGGUCAGGGAACGGUCUCUCACUGUCGUUUGUGCUUAUGCGCCUAGCGGCAGUGUAGAGUACCCGGCCUUUUUAGAGUCCCUGGGGGGCGUGCUGGAAAGCGCUCCCACUGGGGACUCUGUCGUUCUACUGGGGGACUUUAACGCCCACGUGGGCAGCGACAGUGAUACCUGGAGGGGCGUGAUUGGGAGGAACGGCCUCCCUGAUCUGAACCCGAGCGGUGAGUUGUUAUUGGAUUUCUGUGCUAGUCGCGGUUUAUCCAUAACGAACACCAUGUUCAUGCAUAAGGGUGUCCACCAGUGCACUUGGCACCAGGACACCCUGGGUCGGAGGUCGAUGAUCGACUUUGUAGUCGUUUCUUCUGACCUUCGGCCAUAUGUCUUGGACACUCGGGUGAAGAGAGGGGCUGAGCUGUCAACUGAUCACCACCUGGUGGUGAGUUGGAUUCGAUGGCAGGGGAAAAAGCUGGACAGACCUGGCAGGCCCAAACGCAUAGUGAGGGUCUGUUGGGAACGUUUGGCGGAGGCCCCUGUCAGAGAGGUCUUCAACUCCCACCUCCGACAGAGUUUCAACCAGGUCCCGAGGGAGGUGGGGGACAUUGAGUCUGAAUGGACUAUGUUCCGCUCCUCCAUUGUCGGUGCGGCUGUUCGGAGCUGCGGCCAUAAGGUCUCCGGUGCCUGUCGCGGCGGCAAUCCCCGAACACGGUGGUGGACACCGGAAGUAAGGGAUGCCGUCAAGCUGAAGAAGGAGUUCUAUCGGGCCUGGCUGGCUCAUGGGACUCCUGAAGCAGCUGACAGGUACCGACGGGCCAAACGGAGCGCGGCUCUGGCAGUCGCCGCGGCAAAAACUCGGGCUUGGGAGGAGUUCGGCGAGGCCAUGGAGGAAGACUUUCGGUCGGCCUCAAAGAGAUUCUGGCAAACCGUCCGGCGACUCAGAGGGGGGAAGCGGUGUUCCACGAACACUGUUUACAGUGGAAGUGGUGCGCUGCUGACCUCAGCUGAGGAUGUUCUCGGGCGGUGGAAGGAGUACUUUGAGGAUCUCCUCAAUCCCUCCGACACGCCUUCCGUAGAGGAAGCUGAGGCUGGGGACUCGGAGGGGGACUCGUCCAUUACCCUGGCUGAAGUUGCUGAGGUAGUCAAAAAACUCCUCGGUGGCAAGGCUCCGGGGGUGGAUGAGAUCCGCCCCGAGUUUCUCAAGUCUCUGGAUGUUGUGGGGCUGUCUUGGCUGACACGCCUCUGCAGCAUCGCGUGGAGUUCGGGAACGGUGCCUCUGGACUGGCAGACCGGGGUGGUGGUCCCUCUUUUUAAGAAGGGGGACCGGAGAUUGUGUUCCAACUACAGGGGGAUCACACUCCUUAGCCUCCCUGGGAAAGUCUAUGCCAGGGUACUGGAAAGGAGAAUCCGA
rnacentral:lncRNA from 1 species